CCCUACGGGAGGCAGCAGUGAGGAAUAUUGGUCAAUGGGCUUACGCCUGAACCAGCCAAGUCGCGUGAGGGAAUAAGGCCCUACGGGUCGUAAACCUCUUUUGCCGGGGAGCAAGGGCCGGGACGAGUCCCGGUCCGGAGAGUACCCGGAGAAAAAGCAUCGGCUAACUCCGUGUCAGCAGCCGCGGUAAUACGGAGGAUGCGAGCGUUAUCCGGAUUUAUUGGGUUUAAAGGGUGCGUAGGCGGGCUUUUAAGUCAGCGGUAAAAAUUCGGGGCUCAACCCCGUCCGGCCGUUGAAACUGGGGG
rnacentral:rRNA from 1 species